AUGUUCUCUUUAGCUCUGCUGCUGCUGCUGGCUGCUGGAUCCUGUGUGAAGUGUGAACAGUUGACUCAGCCUGCCUCAGUGACUGUGCAGCCAGGUCAACGUCUGUCCAUCACCUGUCAGGUCUCUUAUUCUGUUAGCAGCUCCGCUACAGCUUGGAUCAGACAGCCUGCAGGGAAAGGACUGGAGUGGAUUGGAUGGAAAUAUACUGGAGAUUCAUACUACAAAGAUUCACUAAAGAACAAGUUCAGUAUUGACUUAGACUCUUCCAGUAAAACAGUGACUCUAAAUGGACAGAAUAUGCAGUCUGAAGACACUGCUGUGUAUUACUGUGCCAGAGACCCACAAUAA